rnacentral:rRNA from 1 species
CCUACGGGAGGCAGCAGUCGAGAAUUAUUCACAAUGGGGGAAACCCUGAUGGUGCGACGCCGCGUGGGGGAAUGAAGGUCUUCGGAUUGUAAACCCCUGUCAUGUGGGAGCAAAUUAAAAAGAUAGUACCACAAGAGGAAGAGACGGCUAACUCUGUGCCAGCAGCCGCGGUAAUACAGAGGUCUCAAGCGUUGUUCGGAACCACUGGGCGUAAGGCGUGCGGAGGCUGUUUCGUAAGUCGUGUGUGAAAGGCGCGGGCUCAACCCGCGGACGGCACAUGAUACUGCGAGACUAGAGUAAUGGAGGGGGAACCGGAAUUCUCGGUGUAGCAGUGAAAUGCGUAGAUAUCGAGAGGAACACUCGUGGCGAAGGCGGGUUCCUGGACAUUAACUGACGCUGAGGCACGAAGGCCAGGGGAGCGAAAGGGAUUAGAUACCCUAGUAGUC